AUUGAACGCUGGCGGCAUGCCUUACACAUGCAAGUCGAACGGCAGCACGGGUGCUUGCACCUGGUGGCGAGUGGCGAACGGGUGAGUAAUACAUCGGAACACGUCCUGUAGUGGGGGAUAGCCCGGCGAAAGCCGGAUUAAUACCGCAUACGAUCUACGGAUGACAGCGGGGGACCUUCGGGCCUCGCGCUAUAGGGUUGGCCGAUGGCUGAUUAGCUAGUUGGUGGGGUAAAGGCCUACCAAGGCGACGAUCAGUAGCUGGUCUGAGAGGACGACCGGCCACACGGGGACUGAGACACGGCCCAGACUCCUACGGGAGGCAGCAGUGGGGAAUUUUGGACAAUGGGCGAAAGCCUGAUCCAGCAAUGCCGCGUGUGUGAAGAAGGCCUUCGGGUUGUAAAGCACUUUUGUCCGGAAAGAAAUCCUUGGCCCUAAUACGGUCGGGGGAUGACGGUACCGGAAGAAUAAGCACCGGCUAACUACGUG
rnacentral:rRNA from 1 species